AGCGAACGCUGGCGGCAAGCUUAACACAUGCAAGUCGAACGAGAUCUUCGGGUCUAGUGGCGCACGGGUGCGUAACGCGUGGGAAUCUGCCCUUUGGUUCGGAAUAACAGUCGGAAACGACUGCUAAUACCGGAUGAUGACGAAAGUCCAAAGAUUUAUCGGCAGAGGAUGAGCCCGAGUAGGAUUAGCUAGUUGGUGUGGUAAAGGCGCACCAAGGCGACGAUCCUUAGCUGGUCUGAGAGGAUGAUCAGCCACACUGGGACUGAGACACGGCCCAGACUCCUACGGGAGGCAGCAGUGGGGAAUAUUGGACAAUGGGCGAAAGCCUGAUCCAGCAAUGCCGCGUGAGUGAUGAAGGCCUUAGGGUUGUAAAGCUCUUUUACCCGGGAUGAUAAUGACAGUACCGGGAGAAUAAGCUCCGGCUAACUCCGUGCCAGCCGCCGCAGUAA
rnacentral:rRNA from 1 species